rnacentral:rRNA from 1 species
CUUUUAUGGAGAGUUUGAUCCUGGCUCAGAGUGAACGCUGGCGGCGUGCCUAAUACAUGCAAGUCGAACGAUGAAAUUUCUAGCUUGCUAGAAGUGGAUUAGUGGCGCACGGGUGAGUAACGCAUAGGUUAUGUGCCUCUUAGUUUGGGAUAGCCAUUGGAAACGAUGAUUAAUACCAGAUACUCCCUACGGGGGAAAGAUUUAUCGCUAAGAGAUCAGCCUAUGUCCUAUCAGCUUGUUGGUAAGGUAAUGGCUUACCAAGGCUAUGACGGGUAUCCGGCCUGAGAGGGUGAACGGACACACUGGAACUGAGACACGGUCCAGACUCCUACGGGAGGCAGCAGUAGGGAAUAUUGCUCAAUGGGGGAAACCCUGAAGCAGCAACGCCGCGUGGAGGAUGAAGGUUUUAGGAUUGUAAACUCCUUUUGUUAGAGAAGAUAAUGACGGUAUCUAACGAAUAAGCACCGGCUAACUCCGUGCCAGCAGCCGCGGUAAUACGGAGGGUGCAAGCGUUACUCGGAAUCACUGGGCGUAAAGAGCGCGUAGGCGGGAUAGUCAGUCAGGUGUGAAAUCCUAUGGCUUAACCAUAGAACUGCAUUUGAAACUACUAUUCUAGAGUGUGGGAGAGGUAGGUGGAAUUCUUGGUGUAGGGGUAAAAUCCGUAGAGAUCAAGAGGAAUACUCAUUGCGAAGGCGACCUGCUGGAACAUUACUGACGCUGAUUGCGCGAAAGCGUGGGGAGCAAACAGGAUUAGAUACCCUGGUAGUCCACGCCCUAAACGAUGGAUGCUAGUUGUUGGAGGGCUUAGUCUCUCCAGUAAUGCAGCUAACGCAUUAAGCAUCCCGCCUGGGGAGUACGGUCGCAAGAUUAAAACUCAAAGGAAUAGACGGGGACCCGCACAAGCGGUGGAGCAUGUGGUUUAAUUCGAAGAUACACGAAGAACCUUACCUAGGCUUGACAUUGAGAGAAUCCGCUAGAAAUAGUGGAGUGUCUAGCUUGCUAGACCUUGAAAACAGGUGCUGCACGGCUGUCGUCAGCUCGUGUCGUGAGAUGUUGGGUUAAGUCCCGCAACGAGCGCAACCCCCUUUCUUAGUUGCUAACAGGUCAUGCUGAGAACUCUAAGGAUACUGCCUCCGUAAGGAGGAGGAAGGUGGGGACGACGUCAAGUCAUCAUGGCCCUUACGCCUAGGGCUACACACGUGCUACAAUGGGGUGCACAAAGAGAAGCAAUACUGCGAAGUGGAGCCAAUCUUCAAAACACCUCUCAGUUCGGAUUGUAGGCUGCAACUCGCCUGCAUGAAGCUGGAAUCGCUAGUAAUCGCAAAUCAGCCAUGUUGCGGUGAAUACGUUCCCGGGUCUUGUACUCACCGCCCGUCACACCAUGGGAGUUGUGUUUGCCUUAAGUCAGGAUGCUAAAUUAGCUACUGCCCACGGCACACACAGCGACUGGGGUGAAGUCGUAACAAGGUAACCGUAGGUGAACCUGCGGUUGGAUCACCUCCUUUCU